rnacentral:rRNA from 1 species
AUUGAACGCUGGCGGCAGGCCUAACACAUGCAAGUCGAACGGCAGCACAGAAGAGCUUGCUCUUUGGGUGGCGAGUGGCGGACGGGUGAGUAAUGUCUGGGAAACUGCCCGAUGGAGGGGGAUAACUACUGGAAACGGUAGCUAAUACCGCAUAACGUCGCAAGACCAAAGUGGGGGACCUUCGGGCCUCACACCAUCGGAUGUGCCCAGAUGGGAUUAGCUAGUAGGUGGGGUAAUGGCUCACCUAGGCGACGAUCCCUAGCUGGUCUGAGAGGAUGACCAGCCACACUGGAACUGAGACACGGUCCAGCCUCCUACGGGAGGCAGCAGUGGGGAAUAUUGCACAAUGGGCGCAAGCCUGAUGCAGCCAUGCCGCGUGUAUGAAGAAGGCCUUCGGGUUGUAAAGUACUUUCAGCGGGGAGGAAGGCGGUGAAGUUAAUAGCUUCACCGAUUGACGUUACCCGCAGAAGAAGCACCGGCUAACUCCGUGCCAGCCGCCGCAGUAA